rnacentral:rRNA from 1 species
GUUAUAUGGUCAAGUGAAGAAGCGCAUACGGUGGAUGCCUUGGCAGUCAGAGGCGAUGAAAGACGUGGUAGCCUGCGAAAAGCUUCGGGGAGUCGGCAAACAGACUUUGAUCCGGAGAUGUCUGAAUGGGGGAACCCAGCCAUCACAAGAUGGUUAUCUUGUACUGAAUACAUAGGUGCAAGAGGCGAACCAGGGGAACUGAAACAUCUAAGUACCCUGAGGAAAAGAAAUCAACCGAGAUUCCCUUAGUAGUGGCGAGCGAACGGGGACUAGCCCUUAAGUGGCUUUGAGAUUAGCGGAACGCUCUGGAAAGUGCGGCCAUAGUGGGUGAUAGCCCUGUACGCGAAAGUCUCUUAGUCAUGAAAUCGAGUAGGACGGAGCACGAGAAACUUUGUCUGAAUAUGGGGGGACCAUCCUCCAAGGCUAAAUACUACUGACUGACCGAUAGUGAACUAGUACCGUGAGGGAAAGGCGAAAAGAACCCCGGAGAGGGGAGUGAAAUAGAUCCUGAAACCGUAUGCGUACAAGCAGUGGGAGCAGACUUUGUUCUGUGACUGCGUACCUUUUGUAUAAUGGGUCAGCGACUUAUUUUCAGUGGCGAGCUUAACCGAAUAGGGGAGGCGUAGCGAAAGCGAGUCUUAAUAGGGCGUCUAGUCGCUGGGAAUAGACCCGAAACCGGGCGAUCUAUCCAUGGGCAGGUUGAAGGUUAGGUAACACUGACUGGAGGACCGAACCGACUACCGUUGAAAAGUUAGCGGAUGACCUGUGGAUCGGAGUGAAAGGCUAAUCAAGCUCGGAGAUAGCUGGUUCUCCUCGAAAGCUAUUUAGGUAG